rnacentral:rRNA from 1 species
UACGAAGGGGGCUAGCGUUGCUCGGAAUCACUGGGCGUAAAGCGCACGUAGGCGGCUUUUUAAGUCAGGGGUGAAAUCCUGGAGCUCAACUCUGGAAUUGCCUUUAAGACUGCAUCGCUUGAAUCAUGGAGAGGUGAGUGGAAUUCCGAGUGUAGAGGUGAAAUUCGUAGAUAUUCGGAAGAACACCAGUGGCGAAGGCGACUCACUGGACAUGUAUUGACGCUGAGGUGCGAAAGCGUGGGGAGCAAACAGG